rnacentral:rRNA from 1 species
AGAGUUUGAUCAUGGCUCAGAACGAACGCUGGCGGCAGGCUUAACACAUGCAAGUCGAACGCCCCGCAAGGGGAGUGGCAGACGGGUGAGUAACGCGUGGGAAUCUACCCAGAACUACGGAACAACUGAGGGAAACUUCAGCUAAUACCGUAUACGCCCUACGGGGGAAAGAUUUAUCGGUUCUGGAUGAGCCCGCGUAAGAUUAGCUAGUUGGUGGGGUAAUGGCCUACCAAGGCGACGAUCUUUAGCUGGUCUGAGAGGAUGAUCAGCCACACUGGGACUGAGACACGGCCCAGACUCCUACGGGAGGCAGCAGUGGGGAAUAUUGGACAAUGGGCGAAAGCCUGAUCCAGCCAUGCCGCGUGAGUGAUGAAGGCCUUAGGGUUGUAAAGCUCUUUCAGUGGGGACGAUAAUGACGGUACCCACAGAAGAAGCCCCGGCUAACUUCGUGCCAGCAGCCGCGGUAAUACGAAGGGGGCUAGCGUUGUUCGGAUUUACUGGGCGUAAAGCGCACGUAGGCGGAUUGUUAAGUGAGGGGUGAAAUCCCAGGGCUCAACCCUGGAACUGCCUUUCAUACUGGCAAUCUUGAGUCCGGAAGAGGUGAGUGGAACUCCUAGUGUAGAGGUGGAAUUCGUAGAUAUUAGGAAGAACACCAGUGGCGAAGGCGGCUCA